rnacentral:sRNA from 1 species
ACAGCAGCGGGCGGCGGGACCCGGGACCCAGCUUGGCGACGGCGAUCGCGACCCGGGACCCAGCCUGGCGACGGCGAUCGCGACGCGGGCCCCCAGGAUCUCCCGGCGCCCCACCUCUGGAGCAGCCCCUGCCGCCAGCGUCAGGUCCACCCCGGAAUCCCAGGGACUCUCGGCGCCGAACGGACCCGGGCCGGGUGCAACGGGGUCCCCGGACUGGAGAAGACGCGGGUGGCACUGUGCGAGCUCCAGGAGCCCCGGGUCCACUGCGAGGCCUCGGGGGGCGCAGACCUGCAGAGACUGCGGCCAACGGGAAGAAAUAAAGGGAUUAUAGUCCACUUAAUUCACAGACUUCUGAGACUCAGACACGAGGAGAGAUAGAGAACCGCCAAUCUCUAGAUCAACAAGCAAAGGAGGUGCCAAGCCUGUUUGUCUUCAUUGUGACGCUGGAGAAAUAUCUUUCUCACAGUCUGGAUGCUGGGAAGUCCAAGAUCAGGGUGCCGGCAUGGUCAGUUCCUGGCGAAGCCUCUCUUCUAGGUUUCAGACUGCCCUCUUCUUUGUUGUGUCCUCGAAUGGCAGAAAAAGGGGUGGCUGUUGGAGGAAGGGAGGAGAGUAAAUG